GCGGGGUGGGGCCGGGGCCUGGAUGGCCUCUUUUUUUCUGGCCCUAAUGACGGACCUUUUCUCUUGGGCCUCUUUUUGCAGUCGCUCCUUAACUGCCCACAAUGGGCGCCUUGUUUCAUCCAUUCUCGUCAACUCUCAGGAAAGGGACCCCACUGAAAGAGAUAACUCCUUCUUCACUGAACAAGAACUCCCAUCCAUAGCAGAGGAAUCUAUUUGCAUCCAUGCCACCUAUCCUGAUUUGAGCCUCCUGCUCCAUAAAGGUAAAUGUUUUCCCCUGACAUUAAGUCUAAUCGUGUCCAACUCUGGUGGCUGUUGCUCUUCUCCAUUUCUAAGCCAAAGAGCCGGCGUUGUCCGCAGACAUCUCCAAGGCCAUGUGGCCGGCAUGACUGCAUGGAGCACCAUUACCUUCCCGCCACAGCGGUACCUAUUGACCUGCUCACUUUUGCAUGUUUUUGAACUGCUAGGUUGGCAGAAGCUGGGGAUAACAGCGGGAGCUCACCCCACUCCCCAGAUUCCAACCACCGACCUUUUGGUCAGCAAGUUCAGCAGCUCAGCGGUUUAACCUGCUGUGCCACCAGGGACUCCUGAACCAUACAUGGGAAAAAAGCCUCGACCAUAGGAGCUGGUAAUUCUCAUCACAUACACAGCAAAUUUUGGGCUACUGUGGCUAGUGCAUUGUGCCUUUCUGCAUGAUUUCCUCCAACAGGAUUUAAGAGUAAUCAGUGUUAUUUUACGGAUAAUGAAAUGGUCUUUAUUUAUUCUACCUAAGCUUGCACAGUUUAAAGCAGUGGUUGCCAACCUUUGGGCCUCCAGGUGUUUUGGACUUCAGCUCCUACAGUUCCUAACAGCUGGUAAGCUGGCUGGGAUUUCUGGGAGUUGAAGUCCAAAAUACCUGGAUUCCCAAAGGUUAGGAACCACUGGUCUAAAGCAAACCACUGGCAGACAUUUCAUCUGGCACCCUUCCCUUGAUAGGUCUUCUAAUAGAAACUUUGUAGGAGGAGAAGAAAGGCAGAUUGGAGUCAACGUUCUUCUCUCAAAAGUUCAAUCACAAUUCUCAUUGACUACUUGGGAAAAGCAACCCAGUGUAACUUUGCAUGCACCAUGUGAUGUAAUACCCCAAAACUUCCCAAAUGUAGCAUGAACUAAAUGGAUCAACUGAAGGACAGUUACUAUGUGACUCAGAACAUCAAAGGCAACCUUACCGGAAUUCGUUCUUGUUAGACCGUCGGGUUCGGAGUGAGAGCUAUAUCCAGAGAAAUCUGAGUCCAGAGACAGAUCUGAACCAAAGGGACCUAACAAAAAUACAAAAUUACAUUGUGUGAAACACACCUUACUGCUUACACAGGGCACACUGAAAUGUUUUUCAGGAGUCCUUAUGACUGGCUUAUUUCGUUUAUAGAAUCUGCUGACUCCUUAAUGAAAUCUCUUCAGUGGCUUACAUCAUAACCAUUAUGAAACACUAGGUUGCUGUGAGUAUUUCGGGCUAUAUGGUCAUGUUC
rnacentral:lncRNA from 11 species